rfam:Ixodes scapularis strain Wikel colony gcontig_1107728782850, whole genome shotgun sequence.
GCACUCGUGGCCGAGCGGUUAAGGCGAUGGGACUAGAAAUCCAUUGGGGUCUCCCCGCACAGGUUUGAAUCCUGUCGACUGCG